rnacentral:rRNA from 1 species
GUGCCAGCAGCCGCGGUAAUACGUAGGGUGCGAGCGUUAAUCGGAAUUACUGGGCGUAAAGCGUGCGCAGGCGGUUUGGUAAGACAGGCGUGAAAUCCCCGGGCUUAACCUGGGAAUGGCGCUUGUGACUGCCAGGCUAGAGUGCGUCAGAGGGGGGUAGAAUUCCACGUGUAGCAGUGAAAUGCGUAGAGAUGUGGAGGAAUACCGAUGGCGAAGGCAGCCCCCUGGGACGUGACUGACGCUCAUGCACGAAAGCGUGGGGAGCAAACAGGAUUAGAUACCCCCGUAGUCC